GACGAACGCUGGCGGCGUGCUUAACACAUGCAAGUCGAACGGAAAGGCCCUGCUUUUGUGGGGUGCUCGAGUGGCGAACGGGUGAGUAACACGUGAGUAACCUGCCCUUGACUUUGGGAUAACUUCAGGAAACUGGGGCUAAUACCGGAUAGGAGCUCCUGCUGCAUGGUGGGGGUUGGAAAGUUUCGGCGGUUGGGGAUGGACUCGCGGCUUACCAGCUUGUUGGUGGGGUAGUGGCUUACCAAGGCUUUGACGGGUAGCCGGCCUGAGAGGGUGACCGGCCACAUUGGGACUGAGAUACGGACCAGACUCCUACGGGAGGCAGCAGUGGGGAAUAUUGCACAAUGGGCGGAAGCCUGAUGCAGCAACGCCGCGUGCGGGAUGACGGCCUUCGGGUUGUAAACCGCUUUCGCCUGUGACGAAGCGUGAGUGACGGUAAUGGGUAAAGAAGCACCGGCUAACUACGUG
rnacentral:rRNA from 1 species